rnacentral:lncRNA from 1 species
AUGAGCUAGUUGGUGGCUGUGGCCCUUGCCUAGUGGUCCCAGGGUAGCCCUAGCUUUGUUCAGGGCAGCCAGUGGGUCAGUGGAGGUGCUCUCAGGACCUGCAGUGAGGCAUAGCUGGGGCUUCUUGUGCGAGACCAGUUACCCACCUGACCUGACCUUCCAGGGUUUGGUAGCGGGGAGGGCCAAGAGUGCUCUGUGCCCAUGUCUGUGAUGGAUCAGUGUUCCGCAUGGAUCCCAUCACAUGGGUAUUCCUUACUCACCUUUCCUGCAUGAAGUAAUGAGACCCUAUUUGGACACAUGUCCUCCUGCUGUCCCUCUAGAUGGUGAACCCAGAGAAAGACUUACAUUGGGCCCAGUGUCUCUGGACCAGUGUCCGUCAGCCAUUGUCCAGCCCCUGGUGCACUGAAGCUCAGGCCCUUCCUGGCAUCCUGGUCUCCUGCACUGAGCUGUGUGAGCUCUUCUGCUCAGGUGGGUCCCCUGGCAUUGACUGGCAUAGAUGGUGAGCCCAGAGGAAGACUUGCAUUGGGAGGUUAUCAGCCAGAGGCUCAGGCCCUAUUGGAACAAAACUUGGGCCCUUUCUGAUGCCCUGGUCUCCUGCAUGGAGCUGGUGAGCCCAUCCGGGUCCU